rnacentral:tRNA from 1 species
GCCUGGAUGCGCCAACCGGUAGAGCGGCUCGGCUUAAACCCGAGCGGAUGUGAGUUCGAAUCCCACUCCAGGCA